ensembl:piRNA 21ur-205 ncRNA
UUCGGAAGCUAAACUCUGCUU